AGUGAACGCUGGCGGUAGGCCUAACACAUGCAAGUCGAACGGCAGCACAGUAAGAGCUUGCUCUUACGGGUGGCGAGUGGCGGACGGGUGAGGAAUACAUCGGAAUCUACUUUUUCGUGGGGGAUAACGUAGGGAAACUUACGCUAAUACCGCAUACGACCUACGGGUGAAAGCAGGGGAUCUUCGGACCUUGCGCGAUUGAAUGAGCCGAUGUCGGAUUAGCUAGUUGGCGGGGUAAAGGCCCACCAAGGCGACGAUCCGUAGCUGGUCUGAGAGGAUGAUCGGCCACAUGGGACCGGAGACACGGCCAGACUCCUACGGGAGGCAGCAGUGGGGAAUAUUGGACAAUGGGCGCAAGCCUGAUCCAGCCAUACCGCGUGGGUGAAGAAGGCCUUCGGGUUGUAAAGCCCUUUUGUUGGGAAAGAAAAGCAGCAGGUUAAUACCCCGCUGUUCUGACGGUACCCAAAGAAUAAGCACCGGCUAACUUCGUG
rnacentral:rRNA from 1 species